CACGUAGGCGGCUGGUCAAGUCGGAUGUGAAAGCCCUCGGCUCAACCGAGGAACGGCAUCCGAAACUGGCCGGCUCGAGCGGAGGAGGGGAGAGCGGAACUUCUGGUGGAGCGGUGAAAUGCGUAGAUAUCAGAAGGAACGCCGGUGGCGAAAGCGGCUCUCUGGCCUCCCGCUGACGCUGAGGUGCGAAAGCCAGGGGAGCAAACGGGAUUAGAUACCCCGGUAGUCCUGGCCGUAAACGAUGGGCACUAGGUAGAGGGAGUUCCGAUACUGUCUCUGCUGGAGCGAAAGCGUUAAGUGCCCCGCCUGGGGAGUACGGCCGCAAGGUUGAA
rnacentral:rRNA from 1 species